UGAGGAAUAUUGGUCAAUGGGCGGAAGCCUGAACCAGCCAAGUCGCGUGAGGGAAUAAGGCCCUACGGGUCGUAAACCUCUUUGCCGGGGAGCAAGGGCGGGGACGUGUCCCGGCCCGGAGAGUACCCGGAGAAAAGCAUCGGCUAACUCCGUGCC
rnacentral:rRNA from 1 species